rnacentral:lncRNA from 1 species
AUGCUCUCGUCCCUUGGACUUGAUCCUCAGUCCAAACCCUUGGUUAGUGCUUUUAAGACCUAUUAUACUAGGCUUUAAGAACUCUUGGAUCAAAUCCGAUCCCAAACCCACAUAAAAAUCUUAUGCAGCUCUAUCUGCGCAACUGAGCCAGCUCAGUCUCAGAUUGAAUCGACUAAUAUGGGACUGAGUCGACUCAUACUAAGAUUGAGUCAACUCACCUGCGUGCCGUGCUAGAUUUUUUAAAAUUCUAUCUUCUAUUUCUCUUAGAUAUAGUCAACCCAACUGGCACUGAGUCAACCCACCUGUGAUUUGGUCAACCCAGUCUCAGUCCAAGUCGAUCUAAAUUCUUGAAUCUACUAUUUCUCCACAGUCUUCAACCCU